GUAUUGUGCUCAGUUGGUAGAGCAUGAGACUCUUAAUCUCAAGGUCACGGGUUCAAGCCCCACGUGGGGCA